UUAAAAAGCUCGUAGUUGAACUUCAGACCUGGCUGGGCGGUCUGCCUAACGGUAUGUACUGUCCGGCUGGGUCUUACCUCUUGGUGAGCCGGCAUGCCCUUCACUGGGUGUGUCGGGGAACCAGGACUUUUACCUUGAGAAAAUUAGAGUGUUCAAAGCAGACUUAUGCCCGAAUACAUUAGCAUGGAAUAAUAAAAUAGGACGUGCGGUUCUAUUUUGUUGGUUUCUAGAGUCGCCGUAAUGAUUAAUAGGGAUAGUUGGGGGCAUUAGUAUUCCGUUGCUAGAGGUGAAAUUCUUGGAUUUACGGAAGACUAACUAUUGCGAAAGCAUUUGCCAAGGAUGUUUUCAUUAAUCAAGAAGGAAGGUUAGGGGAUCGAAAACGAUCAGAUACCGUUGUAGUCUUAACAGUAAACUAUGCCGACUAGGGAUCGGGCGAACUCCAUUUGAUGUGUCGCUC
rnacentral:rRNA from 1 species